GAGCGCUCCCCACCUGGUCUGACAAAGUGUCAAGCAAGCCAAUCCAAGUUGCACCUUGCCUUCCAAGAAUAAUCCUUGCCUUCCAAGUUCCCACUUGCCUUCCAAGAAUAAAUCAUUGCCUUCCAAAUGUUCCCUUGCCUUCCAAGAAUAAAUCAUUGCCUUCCAAGAGCCCCAUGUUUCGAACUCACGACCUCUGCUCUGCCAGGUUUGACAGCGUCCGUCCUUUGCCAGUGGAGAAGUGCCCUGGGGGGCA
rnacentral:lncRNA from 1 species